rnacentral:rRNA from 1 species
CCUACGGGUGGCAGCAGUAGGGAAUCUUCGGCAAUGGACGAAAGUCUGACCGAGCAACGCCGCGUGAGUGAAGAAGGUUUUCGGAUCGUAAAACUCUGUUGUUAGAGAAGAACAAGUAGGAGAGUAACUGCUCUUACCUUGACAGUAUCUAACCAGAAAGCCACGGCUAACUACGUGCCAGCAGCCGCGGUAAUACGUAGGUGGCAAGCGUUGUCCGGAUUUAUUGGGCGUAAAGCGAGCGCAGGCGGUCUUUUAAGUCUGAUGUGAAAGCCCUCGGCUCAACCGAGGAAGGUCAUUGGAAACUGGAGGACUUGAGUGCAGAAGAGGAGAGUGGAAUUCCAUGUGUAGCGGUGAAAUGCGUAGAUAUAUGGAGGAACACCGGUGGCGAAAGCGGCUCUCUGGCCUGUAACUGACACUGAGGCUCGAAAGCGUGGGGAGCAAACAGGAUUAGAUACCCCUGUAGUC